CCUACGGGAGGCAGCAGUGAGGAAUAUUGGUCAAUGGCCGGAAGGCUGAACCAGCCAAGCCGCGUGAAGGACGAAGGUGCCAAGCAUUGUAAACUUCUUUUGUCAAGGGACAAAAUCAGGCUCGAGAGCCUGACCGAGGGUACUUGAAGAAUAAGCAUCGGCUAACUCCGUGCCAGCAGCCGCGGUAAUACGGGGGAUGCAAGCGUUAUCCGGAUUUAUUGGGUUUAAAGGGUGCGUAGGCUGUGAGGUAAGGCAGCGCGGAAAUGCCCCCGUUGAACGGGGUGAAGUGCGAUUGAUACUGCCGGGCUGGAGUGCGGAUGCCGUAGGAGGAAUGUGUGGUGUAGCGGUGAAAUGCAUAGAUAUCACACAGAACACCGAUUGCGAAGGCAUCUCACGAAUCCGCGAUUGACGCUGAUGCACGAAAGCGUGGGUAUCAAACAGGAUUAGAUACCCCGGUAGUC
rnacentral:rRNA from 1 species